AUACAGGAACACUUCUGGUGCCCCUGGCUUCAAGACUGAAACCCCUGUGAAGACCAGCGGGAUUGUGAGCAGAUGUUUGGAGGUUAUGGUGUGCAUGCUGCGGACACCCCUCCUCCCAGAGGCUGCUUUCCAGGAGUGACCAGGAAAGACCACAUCCUCCCACUGUGUAUGAGCCCGAGCCCUUUGUCCCCAGCUUUUCUACACCUGCAUUGAGCACUUCUGCAAGGGAGCAGGUGGCACUGAGGACCUGCCUGCCUUCAGCUCUCACUAAUGGACUGCAAAACUUCAAUAUCAGAGAUCAUGCAGACUGCAGUCCCAAAAUGAUGCUGAAAAUGUAUCCCCCUUAUUUCUUCACAUGCCUUCUGAAUCGGACAGCUAACGGGGAGAGCUGGCGCUCACCUACCUGCGACUGUAACAUCUCCAGUUCCACCCAGCUCUAGGACACACAGCAAGAUCCAGGUGUAAUUCCCAGAGGAUUGAAAUGGAACCAGCAGCAAGUAAACUGCCUCGCAUACACACUCUUCCCCAGCCCUGGGAAACAGCAACAGGGCAUUGAGUGUACACAUUUGAAAUCCUUCUUGCUUUCAUCAAAAACGAUCUGAUUAGAUUCAUCAUGGGAUUAAGAGAACAUGUUAAGAAAGCCUAUCAUAAUAUGAAAGUGAUGAAGUCUUUCUUUGAACAUCUGUAUGCAUAGCGAGAGCGUCAUUUUUCAGCGGAAGUCAUGUCGAAGGAAAGGAGAGCUAACCUCUCCGUGAUCACAGCUGCGGCAUUCAUUCCAGCACAGACUUCGUGCUUCUGCGCAGGGAUCCUUCGUAGCUCAGCACGAUUUAAGUUAGCAGUGCUAGUUGCAACAAGGUCCCCAAACCUUGGAGGGGGGGGAUGCUGCUCCAGCAGAUGGGUCUCCAAGCGCUCCCGGAGAAAGCGCUGGCUUUGAGAUUGCUGGUCUGCUGCUGUUCUACCGCACACUGCUUACACUGAUUAGUUUUGAUGGAUUAAUUGCUUUGGAAAUAGUAUUAUACAACAGUGCGCUCAAAGUGAGUCUUUCAUUUCCUUACGGGCGUGAUUAUCCUCAUCCUCCUUUUGACAAUGUUUUGUCGGAGAGGAGAAAGGCAGCUUGCGCAGAAGGGCGGGAAGGGGGAAGCCGAACGCUCGGCCCUUGUGAGCUGGCAUGGUUGGAGCUGCUGCUGUUCACCAUAUUGUGCAAAUCUGAGGGGGCUACAACAUCAAAUAAAAGUAUUGCAAAUUACAUUAACAGUACUCCAGGUAGCAGCUUUUGAAAUAUCUGGUGACUGAUGCAUAUGAAUGACUAAAACCAUUAGCCUUUCCUACUAGUAUUUCCGCUAAUGAUUUCCAAUUGGUUUCUCUAACAAGGAAAGCCACGCAAGGGAUGUGAAAGGUCUGUGCUAGGUAAAGCUCUUCAGCUGGAGAAAAUGGUACAGUUUUAAUAAUGGGAUCUUUUUUCUUUCCUUUUUUCCCCAAGAGCAUACAGGAAAACUGACAAAAGAACCCAACUAAUAAUUGGCUUUAUGUCGGUGUUCUCUCUGUAGCACUGAAGAGACAAAAUCCCUCUUGAAAGCCCUAAGGCAAGCUGCAGGGAUGCGGCAUGGCCACUUUGUGUCUGCUCCUUCAGCCCCUGGGCUGGCACAGCAGCUGUUACCUUUUGCAUCUCCGAAGAAGCCUUUCCCAGCUGAUUGCUUUGCAUAAACACAAAGGGUCUUCUCCCUCAAAUCUCCCCUCAAAGGCUGCCUUUUAAAAGCUGGCAAGAAGCCUGCCUCUCCACUGAGCAGGGCUUUUUGUGGGACCCCUCGCAGCUCUGCCGCAGAUUUGCUUUUACAGCCCUACCACCUUGCGUCGGUUCUCUGUGUGGGGUAAAUUCAGUCAGGUAGCUCAGCUGUGACAUCUUUUUGUGUGUGCGUACAUGUGUGUCUAACUCUGCCAGCUUCAGCUUCAAAGGGCUUGAUCAUAGGUAGGUCUGUACGUGACAGCUAACACCCCGAUUUUUAUCUAUCUGACAACUCUUCCCCAAGCAUCUGCCCACCUUUGGGUGAACCCCUGCAGUCUGCUCUGCUGUGGCAGCUUCUAGGUGCGCAAACAGUUUCAGAAAUGUCUGUAGAUGUAGUCGUGUCCAAAAAGCCGUUUUUUCCAAAGACUUUUUUAUAUUUGUGCUUAACAGUAUCACAAACCGUGCCUUCUAUUUAUGCCUUGCAUAUAUUUAUGUACAUUAAAGCUGUAUCCAAUUUCUUUCUUCUUACGCACAUGUAACAGAAAACUCAAUUAGGAUUUAAUUGCCUGGUGCAAUGCCUGCUUUCUGAGAUAGCAGGCAUCGUGUUAUUUUUAAGUGACUGCAAUGUUCUCUUGAACCUGCAGUUUUCUGCUGGAGAAGCCUCUGGCUCGUCUGAGGCAGCCCGCGGGUUACGCUGUGGUCUGUGCUGCUGCCUCAAACAUCGGUGCCGUCAGGUUACCCGGCUGCUCUGUCCAAGUGAUGCUAUUUCCCCGCGCCUCUCUUCUCAGCUUGCUGCUUCCCCCAGCUUUGCGAGGGGUCCCUGGGGGACAGCUCUGUGAUGGCCUCCUGCAGACCUUCUGCUGGUCAGGGCUGCUCUCAUCACAAA